UACGUAGGGGGCAAGCGUUGUCCGGAUUUAUUGGGCGUAAAGAGCGUGUAGGCGGCUGGGUAGGUCCGUUGUGAAAACUCGAGGCUCAACCUCGAGACGCCGAUGGAAACCCUCCAGCUAGAGUCCGGAAGAGGAGAGUGGAAUUCCUGGUGUAGCGGUGAAAUGCGCAGAUAUCAGGAAGAACACCCGUGGCUAAGGCGGCCCUCUGGACCGUAACUGACGCUGAGGCGCGAAAGCGUGGGGAGCAAACAGG
rnacentral:rRNA from 1 species